rnacentral:rRNA from 1 species
AACGAGACCUUAACCUGCUAAAUAGCCAGGCCGGCUUCGGCGGGUCGCGGGCUUCUUAGAGGGACUAUCGGCAUCUAGCCGAUGGGAGUUUGAGGCAAUAACAGGUUAACCUAUCCCAAGCCUGUAAAAGCGGGUUUCAAACUUC